rnacentral:rRNA from 1 species
UACGUAGGAGGCGAGCGUUGUCCGGAAUUACUGGGCGUAAAGAGCGCGUAGGCGGCACGGUACGACCGGUGUGAAAGCCCCCGGCUCAACUGGGGAGGGUCACCGGUAACGGCCGAGCUAUGAGUGCAGGAGAGGGAAGUGGAACUCCGGGAGUAGCGGUGAAAUGCGUAGAGACCCGGAGGAACACCAGUGGCGAAGGCGGCUUCCUGGUCUGCAACUGACGCUGUGGCGCGAAAGCCAGGGGAGCAAACGGG